CAGAUACUGCACUGCCUUAGUUUCAUCAGGCCUGAGGAGAACCUGGAAUGUCAGUGUAGGAUGAAAAGCAGUGGCUAAAGUAGACACAAAGCUUGAGUGGGACUUCCUAUCAAGUUAUACUCUGAAGCAUCAGCCAUCUGAGCAUUCCUUUUUCAAGAACACACUUGGUGCCAUUCCUGGCUUUGAUAAAAGCCACACAGCCAGCUCCAGACUCUUGAUGAGCUGCAAGUCACUAUUCCAG